rnacentral:piRNA from 1 species
GGCAUUUCUACGACACCGUGAAGGGC